rnacentral:rRNA from 1 species
GGCGUGCUUAACACAUGCAAGUCGAACGGGAAUUACUUUAUUGAACACUUCGGUCGAUUUAAUUUAAUUCUAGUGGCGGACGGGUGAGUAACGCGUGGGUAACCUGCCUUAUACAGGGGGAUAACAGUCAGAAAUGGCUGCUAAUACCGCAUAAGCGCACAGAGCUGCAUGGCUCAGUGUGAAAAACUCCGGUGGUAUAAGAUGGACCCGCGUUGGAUUAGCUGGUUGGUGGGGUAACGGCCCACCAAGGCGACGAUCCAUAGCCGGCCUGAGAGGGUGAACGGCCACAUUGGGACUGAGACACGGCCCAGACUCCUACGGGAGGCAGCAGUGGGGAAUAUUGCACAAUGGGGGAAACCCUGAUGCAGCGACGCCGCGUGAAGGAAGAAGUAUCUCGGUAUGUAAACUUCUAUCAGCAGGGAAGAUAGUGACGGUACCUGACUAAGAAGCCCCGGCUAACUACGUGCCAGCAGCCGCGGUAAUACGUAGGGGGCAAGCGUUAUCCGGAUUUACUGGGUGUAAAGGGAGCGUAGACGGUGUGGCAAGUCUGAUGUGAAAGGCAUGGGCUCAACCUGUGGACUGCAUUGGAAACUGUCAUACUUGAGUGCCGGAGGGGUAAGCGGAAUUCCUAGUGUAGCGGUGAAAUGCGUAGAUAUUAGGAGGAACACCAGUGGCGAAGGCGGCUUACUGGACGGUAACUG